GACAGAGGUGCCGAGCGUUAGGCGGAAUCACUGGGCUUAAAAGCGUGUGUAGGCGGGGUCGUUAAGUGUCUUGUGAAAUCCCACCGCUCAACGGUGGAACGGCUGGGCAUACUGGCGACCUUGAGAGACCCAGGGGCGAGCGGAACAAGGCGGUGGAGCGGUGAAAUGCGUAGAUAUCGCUUGGAACGCCGACGGUGAAAAACAGCUCGCUGGGGGGUCAUCUGACGCUGAGACACGAAAGCCAGGGGGAGCGAAACGGG
rnacentral:rRNA from 1 species